rnacentral:rRNA from 1 species
UGGGGAAUAUUGCACAAUGGGCGCAAGCCUGAUGCAGCGACGCCGCGUGCGGGAUGACGGCCUUCGGGUUGUAAACCGCUUUUGAUCGGGAGCAAGCCUUCGGGUGAGUGUACCUUUCGAAUAAGCACCGGCUAACUACGUGCCAGCAGCCGCGGUAAUACGUAGGGUGCAAGCGUUAUCCGGAAUUAUUGGGCGUAAAGGGCUCGUAGGCGGUUCGUCGCGUCCGGUGUGAAAGUCCAUCGCUUAACGGUGGAUCUGCGCCGGGUACGGGCGGGCUGGAGUGCGGUAGGGGAGACUGGAAUUCCCGGUGUAACGGUGGAAUGUGUAGAUAUCGGGAAGAACACCAAUGGCGAAGGCAGGUCUCUGGGCCGUUACUGACGCUGAGGAGCGAAAGCGUGGGGAGCGAACAGGAUUAGAUACCCUGGUAGUCCACGCCGUAAACGGUGGACGCUGGAUGUGGGGCACGUUCCACGUGUUCCGUGUCGGAGCUAACGCGUUAAGCGUCCCGCCUGGGGAGUACGGCCGCAAGGCUAAAACUCAAAGAAAUUGACGGGGGCCCGCACAAGCGGCGGAGCAUGCGGAUUAAUUCGAUGCAACGCGAAGAACCUUACCUGGGCUUGACAUGUUCCCGACGACGCCAGAGAUGGCGUUUCCCUUCGGGGCGGGUUCACAGGUGGUGCAUGGUCGUCGUCAGCUCGUGUCGUGAGAUGUUGGGUUAAGUCCCGCAACGAGCGCAACCCUCGCCCCGUGUUGCCAGCACGUUAUGGUGGGAACUCACGGGGGACCGCCGGGGUUAACUCGGAGGAAGGUGGGGAUGACGUCAGAUCAUCAUGCCCCUUACGUCCAGGGCUUCACGCAUGCUACAAUGGCCGGUACAGCGGGAUGCGACAUGGCGACAUGGAGCGGAUCCCUGAAAACCGGUCUCAGUUCGGAUCGGAGCCUGCAACCCGGCUCCGUGAAGGCGGAGUCGCUAGUAAUCGCGGAUCAGCAACGCCGCGGUGAAUGCGUUCCC